rnacentral:rRNA from 1 species
ACGGAGGAUCCGAGCGUUAUCCGGAUUUAUUGGGUUUAAAGGGUGCGUAGGCGGUUUAUUAAGUCAGCGGUGAAAUUUUCCAGCUCAACUGGGAUACUGCCGUUGAUACUGAUAAGCUAGAAUAUGGUUGCUGUGGGUGGAAUGUGUGGUGUAGCGGUGAAAUGCUUAGAGAUCACACAGAAUAUCGAUUGCGAAGGCAGCUCACAAAGCCAUUAUUGACGCUGAGGCACGAAAGUGUGGGGAUCAAACAG